rnacentral:rRNA from 1 species
CAAUAGCGUAUAUCAAAGUUGUUGCAGUUAAAAAGCUCGUAGUUGGAUUUCUGGUGGGAGCGAUCGGUCUGGCGCUUAGCGCGAGUACUUGCAUCGUCUCCGGCCAUCCUUGGGGAGAGUCUGUCUGGCAUUAGGUUGUCGGGCAGAGGAUCCUCAUCGUUUACUGUGAAAAAAUUAGAGUGUUCAAAGCAGGCUUAUGCCGUUGAAUAUAUUAGCAUGGAAUAAUAAGAUAGGACUUUGGUACUAUUUUGUUGGUUUGCGCACCAAAGUAAUGAUUAAUAGGGACAGUUGGGGGUAUUCGUAUUCCGUUGUCAGAGGUGAAAUUCUUGGAUUUACGGAAGACGAACUACUGCGAAAGCAUUUACCAAGGAUGUUUUCAUUAA